rnacentral:rRNA from 1 species
GACAGAGGUGGCAAGCGUUGUUCGGAUUUACUGGGCGUAAAGAGCGCGUAGGCGGUCCUUUAAGUCGGUGGUGAAAUCCCGGGGCUUAACCCCGGAACUGCCUCCGAUACUGUUGGACUUGAGUGCGGGAGAGGGUAGUGGAAUUCCCAGUGUAGAGGUGAAAUUCGUAGAUAUUGGGAAGAACACCAGUGGCGAAGGCAGCUACCUGGACCGCAACUGACGCUGUGGCGCGAAAGCGUGGGGAGCAAAC